rnacentral:rRNA from 1 species
CCUAAGGUAGCGAAAUUCCUUGUCGGGUAAGUUCCGACCUGCACGAAUGGCGUAAUGAUGGCCAGGCUGUCUCCACCCGAGACUCAGUGAAAUUGAACUCGCUGUGAAGAUGCAGUGUACCCGCGGCAAGACGGAAAGACCCCGUGAACCUUUACUAUAGCUUGACACUGAACACUGGUCCUUGAUGUGUAGGAUAGGUGGGAGGCUUUGAAGCGUGGACGCCAGUCUGCGUGGAGCCAACCUUGAAAUACCACCCUUUAAUGGCUGGUGUUCUAACGUAGACCCGUAAUCCGGGUUGCGGACAGUGUCUGGUGGGUAGUUUGACUGGGGCGGUCUCCUCCCAAAGAGUAACGGAGGAGCACGAAGGUUGGCUAAUCCUGGUCGGACAUCAGGAGGUUAGUGCAAUGGCAUAAGCCAGCUUGACUGCGAGCGUGACGGCGCGAGCAGGUGCGAAAGCAGGUCAUAGUGAUCCGGUGGUUCUGAAUGGAAGGGCCAUCGCUCAACGGAUAAAAGGUACUCCGGGGAUAACAGGCUGAUACCGCCCAAGAGUUCAUAUCGACGGCGGUGUUUGGCACCUCGAUGUCGGCUCAUCACAUCCUGGGGCUGAAGUAGGUCCCAAGGGUAUGGCUGUUCGCCAUUUAAAGUGGUACGCGAGCUGGGUUUAGAACGUCGUGAGACAGUUCGGUCCCUAUCUGCCGUGGGCGCUGGAGAAUUGAGGGGGGCUGCUCCUAGUACGAGAGGACCGGAGUGGACGCAUCACUGGUGUUCGGGUUGUCAUGCCAAUGGCACUGCCCGGUAGCUAAAUGCGGAAGAGAUAAGUGCUGAAAGCAUCUAAGCACGAAACUUGCCCCGAGAUGAGUUCUCCCUGA